rnacentral:misc_RNA from 1 species
CCAGAACAUGACUGCUGUGCAGGCUGCUUUUGCUGUUGUCAACAAAGGCGUCCGUCCAACAAUCCCCAUUGAUUGUUUGCCUGUCUUAUCUGAUAUCAUGACCUGCUGCUGGGAUUCUGACCCCAAUAAUAGGCCAACUUUCUCUCAGGUUGUCAAGAUGCUUGAGGCAGCUGAGACAGAAAUCAUGACCAAUAUCAGAAAGGCACGUUUCAGGUGCUGCAUUCAUCCUACCGCUACAGGUUGAUUCGGGAAAGAGGAAACUGGAGGCAAAAAAAAUGUUGAAUGGUAAAACUGAUUUUGAGUCUGCCAUGUGUAUCUAUUCGGCACAAUUUCUUUUCAGAUAGAAAAAGGGUUAUAAUUAUGAGAAAAAACUAAACAUUUCUCCUGUAUUUUGUAUCUUUUCCUUAAAACCGUGGAUUUAAGACAGCGACUCGUUGUUAAUACAGG